rnacentral:rRNA from 1 species
GGGCUUCGGCCCUUGGCGGAGUGGCGUCCGGGUGAGUAACACGUAGGUAAUCUACCUCGGGGUGGGGAAUAACUCGCCGAAAGGCGAGCUAAUACCGCAUAACGCAGCGGCACCGAAUGGUGAAAAGUUGUUAAAGCGGGGGAGCGGCUUCGGCCGCCCUCGCGCCUGGAGAGGAGCCUGCGGCCGAUUAGCUAGUUGGUGAGGUAAUGGCUCACCAAGGCGGCGAUCGGUAGCUGGUCUGAGAGGACGGCCAGCCACACUGGCACUGACACACGGGCCAGACUCCUACGGGAGGCAGCAGUGGGGAAUUUUGGGCAAUGGGCGAAAGCCUGACCCAGCAACGCCGCGUGAGGGAGGAAAUCCUUCGGGAUGUAAACCUCACAAGUCAGGGAAGAGCGUGAGCGGGAUAACACCCCGCUCGCCCGACGGUACCUGACGUAAGCCACGGCUAACUACGUGCCAGCAGCCGCGGUAAUACGUAGGUGGCAAGCGUUGUUCGGAAUUAUUGGGCGUAAAGGGCGCGUAGGCGGUUGGCUAAGUCGGCUGUGAAAGCCCGGGGCUCAACCCCGGAGGGUCGGCCGAUACUGGCGAACUAGAGUACGGAAGAGGUAGCUGGAAUUCCCGGUGUAGCGGUGAAAUGCGUAGAUAUCGGGAGGAACACCUGAGGCGAAGGCGGGCUACUGGGCCGAUACUGACGCUGAGGCGCGAAAGCCAGGGGAGCGAACGGGAUUAGAU